rnacentral:hammerhead_ribozyme from 1 species
AUCCAGCUGACUGAGUCCCAAACAGAACGAAACAAGCGUCCUGAAU